UACAGAGGGUGCAAGCGUUGUUCGGAAUCAUUGGGCGUAAAGGGCGUGUAGGCGGUCUGUUAAGUCAUGUGUGAAAUCCCUCGGCUCAACCGGGGAACGACGCAUGAAACUGACAAGCUAGAGUACCAAAGAGGGGGGUGGAAUUCCCGGUGUAGCGGUGAAAUGCGCAGAUAUCAGGAGGAACACCGAUGGCGAAGGCAGGUCUCUGGGCCACUACUGACGCUGAGAAGCGAAAGCGUGGGGAGCAAACAGG
rnacentral:rRNA from 1 species